UUCAGAGGGAGUUAACCAAAACAUUCUGAAAUUAAAGUGAGAUAACUGAUAAUAUAAAGGCUGCAGCUAUCAGAGCACUGCAAAAACAAGUGCAGGGCUAAGUGAAGCAGAAAGCAGAAUUAGACCAUUUAUCAUGACUCAACUGGAGACGGUGCUCAAAGAGUUUAUUUCUCUCUUCCGGAGGUAUGCCAAGAUGGAAGGUGAUGCGACAAAGCUUAACAGAAGUGAGCUCCAUACGCUACUGCAAGAUGAGCUGAGUGGACCUUUGGGAAAAAACAUGGAUUCAUCUUUUGUGGCUGAACUGAUGAAGAUACUAGAUACAAACAAAGAUGGAGAAGUUGAUCUGAAAGAAUUUGGAGGUCUGAUUGGGAUCCUCGCGUGCGGCUACACCCAGAACAAAGAGUAAUAGACCACUAAGGAGUGUCAGCUAAUUUAAAAUAAACAGUGAAAGUACAGUCUUUGUGGAAAUCAGCUGAACUUUCUUUACAAAUAAAGGGAAGGUUUUCUAUCAAGAGAAAGAUAGUCUCUUGAGCAAUUCUUUAAAAAUAAAAAUAAAAUAGUUUUGAAUCUUCA